GGGGAGGCGACGCAGGGGCGGCGGAGAACGAGCGGCUGAACAGCCAUUUUUCAAAUCUCAUCCACCCCCGGCAGAACCUUCGGGGUAUUAAGAGUACCACAGUCCCAAACAUAGAUGGCUCUCUUAAUAACACUGAAGAAGAUGAUGACGAAG